UUUUAUUUAAUGAGUACAAAUUUAUUAAGUACAACUUUAGGAAUAUAGUGAUUCUUCCCACCAUUCCCACCCUCCUACCACCACUCCCACCCCACCUCCUCCCCCCUCUCCCAUUCCCAGUCCCAUUCUCCAUUAAGAUUCAUUUUCAGUUAACUUUAUACACAGAAGACGAACUCUAUACUAAGCAAAGAUUUCAACAAAUUUGCACACACACACAUAAAAUAUAAAAACUGAGAAUAAGUUUUACAACUAUGAAAAUUAACUGCAUGGGGAGUAAGUGCACAGUGACUCCUAUUGUUAAUUUAAAAGAUUUAUGUAUUUAUUUGAAAGUCAGAGUUACACAGAGAGAGAUAGAGGUCUUCCAUCUGCUGGUUCACUCCCCAAUUGGCCACCAUGGCUGGAGCUCAGCCGAUCCGAAGCCAGGAGCCAGGAGCUUCUUCCGGAUCUCCCACGGGUGCAGGAGCUCAAGCACUUGGGUCAUCCUUUACUGUUUUCCCAGGCCAUAGCAGAGAGCUGGAUUGGAAGUGGAACAUCCAGGUCUUGUGCCGAUGCCUAUAUGGGAUGACAGCACUUCAGGCCAGGGCAUUAAACUGUUACACCAUAGCACCAGCCUCUCCUGUUGUUAAUUUAACAAUUAAAAUACCUUCUUCUUUGAUGGCCACUUCUUUCCACUGGGGUCUCACUCACAGAGAUCCUUCAUGUAGGAUUUUUUAUUUUUAUUUUAUUUUGUUUUUUAUUUUUUGCCACAGUGUCUUGGCUUUCUAUGCCUGAAAUGCUCUCAUGGGCUUUUCAUCUAGACCAGAAUGCCUUAAGGGCUGAUUCUGAGGUCAUAGUACUAUUUAGAGCGAUUGUCAUUCUAUGAGUCUGCUGUGUGGUCUGCUUCCCAUGUUGGAACAUUCUCUCCUUUUAAAUUCUAUGUAUUGUUAUUGCCAGACACUUGAUCUUAUAUAUAUGAUCCCUUUAACACUUAAUCCUAUCUAUAUGAUGAAUUUAACACUUACUAUGAUCACUUUAACACUUAAGAUGGCAUUAUUACCACCCAGCUUAAUGGGAUUUGGAGUCCCAUGAAGGCAGCAUCUUAAGAGUAGCUGGGUCCCCAAAGGCUCCCCUGGGAGGGGGUUAGAGGGUGUUGGUAUUCUGAUGCUGGAACACUGGCAUUUGAGGUGAAUUCUACAUCAGCAGAAUCAGCGUCAGCAGCAAAAGCGGGGAUGGUAGUGUGAAAAUUCCCAACAGAGAAGAGCAGGAAUGAGAGGAUAAGGGGCCAGAUGUCCAUCUUCUGAUGCCAGCAUAUGUACAAGCUUUCCUAGAAUUUAGAUAUGAUCCCAGGAAAAAAAGAAGUCCUGUGCUUGUAAAAUAACUGAACAUGAAUGAGUUUCCUAGAAGUGGCCGUAGUUUUUAGUAGCAAAGUUAUUGAAGGUCAUGUAGCUAGAGAGUAACGCAGCUAGGAUUCCAGCCCUGGGAGUCUGACUUCACCAUCCAUAGUCCAAACCACCAGGCUGUGCUAUCUGUACAUUCUAUACAUUCUGUAUGUCUCCAUGGUUCCCAUGACCAAAUGGAAUGGUGGCUCAAGAUCUAAGUUAAAUUACAUCAUAGAAAGAAAAAGUGAUUGUGAGAUCCACUCUGGGACUUCCCACACUGAUUUUUUUAAGAUGCAGCAAUAUUAAAAUGUCUUAGACUGUAAGAACUGUGAACCAUAUUGUCUUCUCUCCAUCUUUACCAUCCAGCACCAACCCCUAAUCCCUGCCCUACCUGGGCUGUUGCAAGUGUUUCCAACUUGGAGAGAUUAGACUUUACCUAAGUAAUUAGCAGCAAGAGACCCAGAACCAAUGGAUGGAAGCUUGAAAGGCACAGAAUUCUGUGCAGAAUCAGGGAGGACAUCUGGCAAGUGAAGAUAUUGAAAGACAGAGAUAGCGGAAUUUGGAAUGUGACAUUUCGCCAAGUCAGAAUCUUACUUGCCCAUACAACACAGAUUUUAGGCUUGCUCCAGUGUUUGUAUAAUUGUAUUGUCAGAUCCAAACAGCUAGUGAAGGCUGAGAUAACCACAUGUGUGACAUGGCUCAAACUGCAAGAAGUUUAAAUCGAAUUCUUCACUGUCCAUUGUGACUGGCUCACAGGCAGCAUGCUGCAAUGCUAUGCUGAUGUAACUCUGGCAUGGUGUCAUUCUGGAUCUAUUUUAAGUAACAACUUUUUGUUUUCUUUCUUGGGGUAGUCUUUAAUCUUUAACUAUAAUUCCCCUCUUCUCCCUGCCCCCCAUUACAAAAAUCUGGAAUGACAUUUUUCUAAAUCAAUUAACUGAUGUAAUAUUUACGUGAAUGGAAACAUAUCGGUGCACUGUAUUCCACAUGGUAAAUGAAGAUGAUCCUGCUAACCUCCUAUCAGGAAGGCAUGGAUCCAACUUGGCUUCUUUUCAUUUUCCAAGGGUGGUGGUUUUUAGUUUUCAAAUAUCUAUUUGAUUAAAAAAAACACACACAAACAAAUGUUUACUUUUUUAAUGUAAGUCUACCAGAGCCCUUCAAAGAAUUUAAUAGAGAAAAUAAUAUUUCUUGGGCCAGCACUGUGGCAUAGCAGGUAAAGCCGCUGCAUGCGCCAACAUCCCAUUUGGGUCCCAAUUGUAGUCCCAGCUGCUCCACUUCUGAUUCAGCCCCCUGCUAACGCAACUGGGAAAGCAACAGAAGGUGACCCAAGGGCCCUUGCACCCAUGUGACAGAUCUGGAGGAAGUUCCUGGCUCCUGGAUUCAGAUCGGCCCAGUUCUGGCUGUUGUGGCCAUUUGGGGAGUGAACCAUAGAAUUGAAGAUUCUCUCUCUCUCUCUCUCAACUCUGCCUUUCAAAUAAAUAAAUCUUUUUUAAAAAAUUAUAUUUCACCUUUAAACCCUCUAAGACUUCUAAAGCCUAGAAGAAAGCAGAUACAACCCCCCUUCCCCUAAUCAUAGAUGUCCUUAAUUUAAAUAAAUUUUUUUUCAGAACCAAGUUUUAUGAAUCAUCAUUUUGAUACAAAUAAUUUAAAGGUAGAAGAAUAAGAUAUGAAGUUCAAGCAUGUAGAAAACCAUUUCAUGAUUUUUGCUAAUAGUGCUAACAGAGGCCAAUUUAAAUGAGCUGCUGGGUCAGGAGUGUUAAUAACAUGCCUUCAGAAGUCCAGCUGGUGUUAAUGCUUAGUGUUAGAUAAAGAAGAUGGUAUUUCUCUUAUAUUUCAAUUUUCAGAUCUAGACAUUUUUAGAUGCAUUCUGUUACACAAAUGUCAACCGAGAGCAGUGGUUAAGAAGUUAUGGGACAGUAUCUUUCAGGUGGGGUAGCUCCCCACUUCUAUGGGGGCAGGAUUUACGAUGGCAUAAUCAAGUCCUAUAAGCUUGAGAAAUAUUAGGGCUGAUAUCUCCGCUACUCUGAAAGAGUGGUGCAUGCAGUAUGAGGAGAAGCAGGGCAGGGGAAGUCAUUGCCUCCUGUAAGAUGCCUCUAUUGGGAGCCCAUAUCUUUUCUCUUUGGCUCUGGUUAUAAUGACCUAAGGCUUAGAUUCCAGCCUUUCAAUAAAACCACCAGAUAGAAUACCUUCCAUGUCCCAGUUGCACAGUCCUCUUGUGUUUUUCUGGUGUUUGUAUUCCCAUAGUUGCAAAUAAAAAGUAUAUUUUUAGUUUUAGAAUUUUCCUUUCCAUUAAAAAAAAAUCCCUGAAGAUUUGUGGCACCACUGUUGUUUCUGUUAAUGUCAUUGCUUCCAUAGCAGCAGGCUAAGAUUUUGUAAGAAACUAUGUUUACAAAAACCAAUUAUCUAAGUGAACAUUAUAGCUACACAUAGCAGUUUCAAUUUAGAUUUCCUGUAACCAUUACAACACACACACACACACACACACCUACCUUUUCAAAUUUAUGUAAUAAAUGAAGUAUGAGGGUUUUCCAGAAGGUUCUUGAAAACCAAAUUAAAAGGUAAGUUAAUUUUGGUGCAAAAAAUUUUGGAAAUCCAUUCAUAUUUUUUUCAAAAUACACAUUUUUUUCAUGAACUUUCUGAAAACCCCCUCAUAUAUACAAUGUUAAAGAUUUUUGCAUCAAAGUAAACUUGUCCUUUAAUCCCAUCUUCCACCAGCUUUUUGAAGUGCCCUGGUAUAAGCAUCUAGAUUUCCCUCUCCAUGGAGCUGAGACUCAUUCUUCAGGCUCCUGUAGCAGAAUGAAAGCCCAGGCCACUCAUGUCUUUGGCCUUAGAAGGUGGAGUUUCCCCUGCUUUCUGAUUCCAGAUGGGAGUAGGAGAUAAAAUAAUUGAGUUUGUGCUGACAUUUAAUUCUUAGGGUGGAUUUAAUGAAAAAUUACAGAGAAAACAAGGACAAUAAGUACUCAGUUUUUCAUAGCUUAUUUUGCUAAGCAUAAACUUUAAUAAUGAUGUGCGUAUUCAUUUUAUACCCAGAAGAUUUAUUCCGCUCAACAAUCAGUCAGCAGAAUCGUGUCUUUAAUUUGGAAUAUUUCACAAUUGCUUUACCAUCUUUUAAGUCAGAGAUUUUAGUGACUCUUCUAUGGAGAAAUGAAAAUGUCUGUAUGAAGCAUAAUUUCUAAUUAGAGCUAACUAAAUAUAAAAUGCGAUGUGAAUGCAAUCUAGAGAAAGCACGCCCAAGACCGCACUGCAGGGUUUUUGUCUUCUUAUGAGUAAAGCUGGCCUUGUUGAAUAUUCAAAAGUGCCUUUGCGGUAUCAGUUUUCUCUGAGAAUGGAAUGCCAAAAUCUUCUGAUGGGUACUGCUCCUGCUGCAAAGGUAAAAGCUAACUAGGAAAUAAAAUUAAUUAUUUCUAAAAUAUCUUACAGCCAUACUCUUCGUGAAAUAAUCCACCACCACAACUUCUGACCACAGAACUCUGUAGCCACUGUGCAGAAGUACAAGCAAAAUAAGAGUGCUGGACCACUUCCUCCCUUCCUGCUGAGCGCUUACAGUUGUGUAAAGAACACAGCCCUAAAUCCAAGUAGAUGGAUACAAGUAAAAAGAGGCAAAGUGACACACAUUCAGUGUCAGUGACACUAGAUUUUGUUAGCCUGUCAAGACUUUAUUCUUCCCAGACAUUUUGAGGAAGAGAAGGUUGUAAUUUAGCUUCAGCUACAUCCUGCACAAUAGUGGCGUCAUAAAGUCAAGCAGCAUUGCAGAAAUUAAAAAUUAAUCUCACCAUCCUCGUACUGCAGAAAAGCACCUCCCAUAAAAAUGCCCUACUUCACACUCCCCCCAGAGUCUUUCUCAGACAUUUUAGACAUUUUCCCCAGCUCUUAUAAAAUACAUUUUCCUUAUAUAGAAAAUAACCUCCUAGGUUCCUUAAAAAAAAACUGAAAGAGGAAAAUUGCCCCAACCAACAGAAGUCAAGGGAGUGGAGCCAUCAGAAGCCGCAGGGAGAGGCUGCUCCUGAGAGGAGGUGAGCAAGGCUCCCCACCAUGGACCCUGCACUAGCAGGAGAUGGCCCUCAAGGCAAAGAAAAGGACAACAGGGGUCUCUGCGGAUCCUGAUGGAGCAGGACCCCCUGAGCAUCUCUCUGCCUUGGGGUAGCUUGCAGUUGAUCUGGGAGGUUGGCUAAAGUCAACACACCCCUGCAGCCCCUGCAGUUAUAAGGACAACACAGCUCUCGAUCAUUCAACAAGAAGGAAAUGUACAUAGUUCUGGUCCAUUUACCAAGUGCUGAAUUUAAGAAACAUCUAUUUAAUGCAUAUAACCAACAGGAUACUAAAAUUAUAGUCCUUUUUUUAGGCAGACAUACUGUGUGCCAUAAAUCAGUUGUUAUCAGGAGAUGAUAAAAAAUAAAAAAAAUGAAAUUAACAAAUAGCAAUAAAUUUAAUGAGAAGACUGAACAUAGCUUAGAAACUGGGUAGGACAUUUAUUGUGAAGUAAAAUCAAUAUGACAAAAACACGUUUCCUGCUUUUAAUGCCUUUUACUUAUAAAUAUUAACCAACCGCUCUCCAAAGUUGUUUUAUCACAAAGAAGAAAACUCUUGAAUUUCCAAACUCCUGAAGAUAUAAUAUGGUUGUUUUCUUCCUUAUUUGGUAGAACGCACACAUAUUUUAACACAGUCUUUGUUUGUGUUUAGACACAUCUCUCAUCUACAAGGAUUUAUGCUAUAUGCCACUACAGAAUAUUUUGGUCAAUGUCAAGCCAUAUAUAUAUACACUAUCAUAGUCCCAGAAGAUUACAGUGAAGCUAAAUUCCCAUUAUCUGGAUGUUCACUAUACCCUUUCUGCAUUCAGAUAUGUUGAGAUGCCCACAUACUUAUCACUAUGCCACAUUGGCCUGCAGUACUCAGUACAGUAGCAUGCUGUAUAAAUUUGUAACCUAGGAGCAAUGUGCUAGACCAUGGUGCCUAGGAGUGUAGAAGGCUAGAUAAUCCAUCUAGGCUUGUGUGAGUUCACUAUUCUGUGAUACUUGAACAAUGACAAAAUUGCAUAAGGAUGCGUUUCUCAGAAUGUAUCUUAACGUUUAGGGUGCAUGACUGUACUAAGAACUUCGUACAUAUUUCUAGCUAUGAGAUUGGUAUGGGAUAUCCCCAUCUAUAUUAACAAGGAAACUGAGUCAAAGUUGUACAACAUGUUAAAGUCACACAAUGAGUUAGUGGUGGAGUUAACCCAAGCAGAUUGACUCAGAGUCUGCUUCUUUAGCCUCACCGCUGCUUCUGCUGCAGGACACAGUGCUGGGUUCUGAAAUAAACAAGUGCAUCAGACCCAGUCCGUGGCCUUGGGAAGCUUAUGCUCUCAUAGGGGAGACAUAGCAUAAAUGAGACUCACAUGAAUGUUCAUUGUGAGCAAUGCUCACAGGAGUCGUGGAGCACAGGAUGCUGAGAAAGCAACAGAGGCUAAUCACUUUGCAAGUCUGCUAUCUAAAACCAAGUGAAUAAGGUCAGCCUUCUCUGUGGGCUCUAAACCUGCAGAGUCAACCAACUAUGCAUUGAAAAUAUUAGAAAAAAAUAUUGUGUACAUUUUAGACUGUCUUUGCCAUUAUUUCCUAAGCAAUAGAGUAUAAGGACUAUUUACAUAGCACUUACAUUGUGUUAGAAAUUACAGGUAGUCUAGGGAUGAUUUAAAGUAAAUGGGAGGAUGCACAUAGGUCAUCUGUUAACGCUAUGGCAUUUUACAUAAGGGAGUUGAGCACCCAUCGAUUGUUGGUAUCCACAGGUGUCCUGGAAUCAGUCACCCACAGAUUACUAGAGUGACUGUAUUUGAAAGUGGACAUACUUCGUAAGUACUUCAAAUGUGAAGAUUAGAUAAAGUGGAAGUUGAUAAGAUGUGACUUGAAUUUUUUUUUAAAUUCCCACAGCAAAUUAAUUUCUAUCUUUUUCCUUUCUCAUGGAUUUACGCCUGCUUGUGUCUCAGCCUAACACUAUUGAAUAUUUGAGGCUGAAUAAUUCUUUGUUGGCAUGGGAGACUGCCCUGUGCAUUGUAGGAUGUCUAAUAAUAUCCUGGGCCUGUUUCUAUGAGUAACAACUUCUCCUCCCCACUGUGUGACACCCCAACUUAUCAUUGUGCUAGACAUUAUUGAAUGUCCCUAGAAAGCACUGCUAAGCCACCAGGAACUCAAAUUCUACUUACUUUUUGAAAACCAUUUAUCUUAACUAUUGCUCCUAGCCCAUUCUUAUUUUCCCUUUCUCAGAAAUCUACAGCAACACCACACAGUCCUUGAGGCUCAGUGGUUAGCAUGGUGCAUAUUCAGCCAGCUCCUGCCCCAAGCCUUGGCCUUAGGGAAGGAAAUCAGUGGGCCAUUCAGCUCCUUCCCUGUUACUCUGUGAUGGUAUAAGGUUCCUUUUUUAUUUUCCCCCUCACUCUACCCCCACAAACUCACCCUUCUGGGUCCCUGGGCCCUGAAAUUGUUUGGCUCUUGGCUCAGAGCAGAAGAAGAGAGGAAAGGAAGAGAUAAAGCCAAACAGAGCAGAAGAGGGGACCAGAAGAAAGGUCUGAAUAAGAAGAGCUGCUAAUGAGUUAGGAAACUGUGUUAAGGCCCUGACUUCCAGAUGCGUUUUGAACAAGUGACUGACAAGAUCAUGAAUUCUAAUCUUCUGGUGAAAAUAGUUACAUUGUAGCAUUUCCUUAUAGCUACAUAAGUACUUUAUAGCUAUACCUCAUUCAGGCUUUAAAACUGAAUUAUAAUGAAAUGUGGUGCCCUGCGAUGCAACACUCUUGAAGAGCAAAAGUAAGAGGUGAGUACAGAAAAGCUUGGAGUGGGUCUGUGAGCAGUGAGUUCCUUGAGUGUAGCUACCAUUUAGAUCCAACUUAGAAUCUUUGGCCGGGGAAGUACCUGCACAGAGUACAAAGCAUAGGAAGCAAAGUGUCCACAUGCCCAGCAGAGAACCUGGUUUUGGGAGAUGGCCGCUUAAGAAACAGAAAGACAUUAUGCUGUUUAACCAAGGCAGUCUUCAUCUGCAAAGUCUCUGCUUCCUGUGGGAGAUGAGACAGAGGGGAAAAGAUGGACCCUCAGCGGAACCAUCUCUGCACCGACUUCUUACAAAGCAUGGUCAUCCUGAGCCUCAACAGAUAUCAAAAGAGACCCUAAAAUGGCUACUCUGAACAUAACUGAACUUAUUCCAAGAGAUUUUGCUAUUUUUGCAGUAAAACUACAGAGAAUAUAAACAUCUUUAAUGUGGUAAUGAUUUCGAUGCAGUACUUUUUUUUUUACUUUUAUUUAAUAAAUAUAAAUUUCAAAUGUAAAACUUUGAGAUUAUAGUGGCUUUUCCCCCUAUAACCUCCCUCCCACCCACAACCAUCCCAUCUCUUACUCCCUCUCCCAACCCAUUCUUCAUCAAGAUUCAUUUUCAAUUAUCUUUAUAUACAGAAGAUCAACUUGGUAUAUACCUUUCAGUAAAGAUUUCAAGUUUGCACCCACACAGAUACAUAAAGUAUAAAGUACUGUUCAGUAGUAGUUUUACCAUUAAUCCACAUAGUACAACACAUUAAGGACAGAAAGCCUACCUGGGGAGUAAGUGCACAGUGACUCCCGUUGUUGAUUUAACAAUUGACACUCUUAUUUAUGACGUCAGUAAUCACCCAAGGCUCUCCGACCUUAUUUAGGCAAAGCCAUAAUCAAAGAGGAAGUUCUCUCCUCCCUUCAGAGAAAGGUACCUCCUUCUUUGAUGGCCCAUUCUUUCUGCUGGGAUCUCACUCACAGAGGUCUUUCAUUUAGAUUUGAUUGAUUGAUUUUUUUUUUUUUUUUUUUGCCACAGUGUCUUGGCUUUCCAUGCCUGAGAAACUGUCAUGGGCUUUUUAGCCAGAUCCAAAUGCCUUAAGGGUUGAUUCUGAGGCCAGAGUGCUGUUUAGGGCAUUUGCCAUUCUAUGAGUCUGCUGUAUAUCCCGCUUCCCAUGUUGCAUCAUUCUCUCCUUUUUAAAUCUAUCAGUUAUUAUUAGCAGACUAGUCUUGUUUAUGUGAUCCCUUUGGCUCUUAAUCCUAUCUUUAUGAUAAAUUAUAAACUUAAACUGAUCACUUUGACUAGUAAGAUGGCAUUGGUACAUGCCUCCUUAAUGGGAUUGAUUUAGAAUCCCCUGGCACGUUUCUAGCUCUACCAUUAGGGGUAAGUCUGAGUGAUGCAGUACUGUUUUAUAUAAGUUUAUUUGAGAGAAAGAGAGGGCGGGAAGGAAAGGAGGGAGAGAGAGAGAAACAGAGAGAGACAGAGAGAGAGAGAUUGAGAGAGAGAUCCAUCCACUUGUGUACUCUCCAAAUGCCACAGUGGCUGGGAGUGGGCUGAAGCUAGGAGCUGGGAACUUAGUCUGGGUCUCCCAUGUGGGUGGCAGGAACCCAAUUACUUAAAUCAUCAGUGCUGUCUCCCAGGGUUCGCAUUAGUGGUAAGCUGGAGUCAGGAGUUGGAGCUGGGCAUUGAACCCAGGUCCUCCUAUGUGGGACAAGGACAUCUUAAGCUGUGUUUCAACAACUAGCAUAGAUACCACACUACAGUACUAUUUUAAAUAUAAUUCUAUAUGUUUAGUUGCAUUGUACUCUAUAAAUUAACUCAGAAACAAUUAUUGUGGACUAUUAAAUACCAAUUACAGUGCCAAACUCUGGAGAUUUAAAGUAAAAACAUACUCUGAAGCUGACUUCAAGGAACUGCCAUCUGAUCAAGAAAAAAGGCAAGGAAAUUGACAACCAAAUAUGGGUUCUUUUAGGUUUGAUUGAGAGUUGGGUGGCAUAAUAAGUAAGGGGUAGUUUCUAACUCAAACAUGGAGGUUGGAGAAAGAGAGCAGGUGUCUGAAAAGUUAUUUCUAAGAAGACAUCUGUUACAACCACCAAAAAUUAAAAUACUAUUAAAGUUCAUUGAGACUUUAAACAAGUCUAUCUUGAGAACUCUUAGAGCUUCCCACAUGAAUGAUGAAAGAUGGAGUAUAAUCAAAUAGAAAGUUGGAAAUAGAAAAACAGAUCGUUCAUGAGUGUUUGAAUGUUUGCCACAGUGCUGAACAAAAGAGCAAUAAAAUAUAUGUUUGAUUUUCACCAUUAAGAGAUUUUGCCAAAGUCUAGUAAAAUACUCUUGAUAGCUUGCCUCCUAAAUCCACACACAGGAAAUGCUUCCAUGUUUGCCUACAUUUAAUGCCACUAAGAUGUGUCAUGGCCAGAACAGUCAAACAGGAUUACCUGGACUGGAUCUAGGGGUGAGGGCUUGGGUGUUGGAAUGCUUGUUGCUCUCCUGGUACAGCAGAAAGAGAUCGGAAAGCCUCUAUGCAAGGACCACCGUGCCACAGUAGCUGUGAGAUUUUCAGCAAGUCACUUCACCUUUCAGAAAUUCAGUUUACCUCAUCUUUAAGAUUAUUUAGAUUAUUGUUCUCCAUUGUGGUUCUUGCAAAUUGAGUGAAUGGGACUUCUUGUGCAAUGCUCUCUGAUCAGAUUCUUUUGUUAACUUAAGCAUGGGGCCCAGCGUUUUGGCAUAAUGUGUAAAGCUACUGUCUGCAAUGCCAGCAUCCCGUAUGGGCACUGGUUUGUGUCCUGGCUGCUCUACUUCAGAUCCAAUUCCCUGCUGAUGUCCUGGGAAAAUCAGCAGAAGAUGGCCCAAGUGCUUAUACCCCUUUCACCCAUGUUGGGGCCCAGAGGAUGCUCCUGGCUCCUGGAUCCUGGCUUUGUCCUGGUCCAGCCCUGGUCAUUGCAGCCACCUGGGGAGUGAACCAGCAUAUGCAAGAUAUGUUUCUCUGUCUGUCUGUCUCUCUCCCUCUUUCUCUUUAUUUCUCUUCUCUAUCUUUCCCUCUUUCUUUGUAACUUGUUCAAAUAAAUAAAAUCUUAAAUAAAACUUAAGUGUGAUUGCAAAGUAUGUGUUGAGGAUAAAUGCAAGUCCCUCCUGUGCCUUUCCACCUGCUGAUCCCACCCAAACCCUCCUCACUGUGAUCAGAAUGAUCUUUAUGAAACACAUUGGUCAUGCACUCCACUUUAGAUAGAUUACCUUCAGUGCCUACUCAUAAAUAACCAGAUGAACACGGCAUCUUGGUAUGAAGUCCUUUCUGUGCUGGAUCUGCUCUACCCACCACCCAGGCUGCUCUCCUGGGCCUCCUACACACCUGUGCUCCUGCAGCUCCGUGUGCUUGCUCUCUAUUUCUCCUCCUUGUCUCUCCAUAUCAUAUUGGAAUACCAGUGCUUCCACCUUACCCCACCACCUCCUCCAACUGGUUCUUCAGCAUUUGACUCAGCUCUUAAGCUUUUCCUAUGUGCUUGGGGCAUGUACUGAUCUAUCUCACCUCAGAAAAUCCAUCACCCUAUACAACCACUGUCCAUUUGCUUGUCCAUCUUCCUCAUUGACUGGGGAUUCAAUGAGGGCAGAUUAGAUACUAAAUAUCCCUUGGCUCACCCUAUGGCUGGAAUAUGGUAAGUGCUCAGGAAAUUGAAUUCUGUUGAAUGAAUGAAUUUAUCAAUCAUCAGCUGAUUCAUAAUUGGCCAAUAAGCAUGCCACAUGGUGAAAUAGAAAACAAAAAUGUUAUGGCUAUGAUGACAUAAUGUGAAAUCUUCCUUUUCAAAAAAAUUUCCACUCCAAAAUGUAAAAGGUAUUGGUUACUUGUGAACCCUGAUACUCAUGAUGUCACAAAAUAGUGUUUUGUAGUAGAGACUGUUGCUUGCUUAACUCAGUGUUCUCUCCCUCCCAUAUCCAGAACAAUAGACUCUUAUGUUUAAUUGAAUAUAUGGCCAUAGGAAAUAAAACAACACUACCAAUAAUUUUUUUCCCAGUGCUCCUUGCAGCUGGAUGUGCCAAAGGUCUGUGCUCCAUCAGAUAAAAUAUAGGUGGAAGUGUUUUGUGGAAGCAUUUCUACUUUUUCACUUGAUUAGAGUCCCUGCAAUGAUUUUAAAACACAAGAUGACCUAGAGAUGAGAGCCAUGUGCUGGGAGUCAAAGCAAAAAGAUAGGAGAAGUUAGUUCUCUGUUGGCACCAUGAAUCCUGUGCUCCAUCCCCAGACUUCGUUACAUGGGAGAGAAGUAAAUUAACACCCCAAGGCAGCAGUUAGCAAACUUUUUCCAUGAAAGGCCAGAUAAUAAAUAUUUUAGACUUUGUAGACCACAGAGUGUCUGUCACAACCGCUUGGAUCUGCUGUUCCCGUGCAAAAGCAGCCGUAGACAGUACAUAAACAAAUGAGUGACUGUGCUCGGAUAAAAUUUUAACUACAAAAACAGGUGGCAAACUGGAUUUGUCUGUACUUUGCUGAUCCCUGCUGUAAGGCACUUUAAUUUUUGAAUCUUUCCGAUAUAUGUACCUAUAUCUAACCCUACUAAUACAUCCUAUCUGGUGAGAUGAAACUUUUAAUUUGGAAGGACCGUCCAAACUCGACUUUUUUUAAAACAUUUUUUUCCCUUUGGUAAACUCUUUGUCCCUUACCUUAUCCUGGUUGGAAUUACACAAAGUCCUGAUAUUUCUGUCUCCAGACUCUUUUGAUUAUUAAGACCAGCCGAAUCAGAUCCAGGGCUUUUCUAGGUUUCUCAGUUCCAUUAUGUUCAUUUUGGAGGAUUCCAGCAGAAUAUAAAUGGGACAGUCACCAGGUGUGUGGACAGGCAGAACAGAGGACAAAAGACAAGGCCUGUAAGAACUGAAUGAAGAACACGGUGCUGAGAGCUCCUGAAAUGUGUUUGAAUUAUGUGACAAAACUUUCAGGCUGCCUAAAUGCUAGCUUAUUGUACUCUGUUACCAGGGAGACUGUACAAGCUGAAUUGAUGUUUAGCAGCAGGACAAGAGCUGGUCUUGGAGAUUCUUUUCAGCAAAGACUUUGACUGAUGCUGUUAGAAUGUCUUAGUUUUUCUGGUUUAACUUGUCCUGUGAACACAGAACAAUAUAGUACAGACCAGCAAUGGCAAAUUGAUUUCCCCUUACAUGGAAACACCAACUGAUGGACAGCAGCUGUCUGGAGCUCUUUAUUGAGAAGGUUUCUGUGGCUGCAUCUGGAUGUUAAGAGAAGUCGUUUGUUCUUCCCUACCAGUGUCUUCCCAGGAGUGUGGUGGGCAGGGGAGGGAAGAGAGCUCAGAUCAGUCACCACUCUUGGUAGACCUCAAGCAACAUGACAACUAGAAGGGAGCCUGGAGUAGUCCACUUCUCCUCACUAGAACUGGAUAUCUGAAACGGGCUACUUAUGAAGGUGGGGGGCUUAUUUUGCCUCACAGUUUUGGAGGUUUACAGUCCAAGAUCAGCUGGGCCCCAUUGGUCUGGCAGUCUGGUGAGGCUUGAGGAUGGCCCAUGGAGGAACACGUGGGCAGGAAGAAUCACCUGGUGUGCCAGGAAACAGGGAGUAUGGCUGGGCUCAACUUGGCUUUGAAACCAACACUCUUAAGAACUCCCUAGGCCGGUGCUGCGGCUCACUAGGCUAAUCCUCCACCUUGCGGUUCCGGCACACCGGGUUCUAGUCCCAGUAGGGGCGCCAGAUUCUGUCCCAGUUGCCCCUCUUCCAGGCCAGCUCUCUGCUGUGGCCUGGGAGUGCAGUGGAGGAUGGCCCAAGUGCUUGGGCCCUGCACCCCAUGGGAGACCAGGAAAAGCACCUGGCUCCUGCCUUCGGAUCAGCGCGGUGUGCCGGCCGCAGUGCGCUGGCCGCGGCGGCCAUUGGAGGGUGAACCAAUGGCAAAGGAAGACCUUUCUCUCUGUCUCUCUCUCUCACUGUUCACUCUGCCUGUCAAAAAAGAAAAAAAAACUCCCUAAUGAGGGCACACCCCACUGAUCUCAGGAUCUCCCUGGGCUCACUUCCUAAACACCAAAAAUGGAUCCAAUUUCUACCCUUGUAGGACUUUGAGGUUUAAAGUCCUAUAUGAGUUUGGGAACCAAAUUAUGACCAAAAUAUAGCAGAGUCAUAUUUUCAAUAGUCUUUAAUCUGGUUCUUUUAUUUUUGGCUAUAUUUAAGGGUUAUAAAUGUCAAGUAACUCAUGCAGGGUUAUAUGUCUAGUUAAUAGCGAAACCACUAUUAGAAAUCAACAGUGACUUUUCCAUUACAUAGUAUUAUAGUAUAUAAUUGAAAUAUUGUAGACUUUUUAUUAUUUUUUCAUAAUUUAUUUCUAACAUAAAGAACUUGAACCAGCUUGUAAGAACCUUGCUUGAUUCCCACAACCAAACUUCUAAUGCACUUGCUAAAAGCCAGAUCAUUUUCCAAGCCACAUGAUUCAGACUGUUUAAUUCUGUAAGCCCCAAUAUCCUUCCAAUAAUUGCUUUUUUGUUGUUGAGUUAAUGAUUUUCAAAGUCAGCUUCUAUUGCCUGAUAUCAAGAACUACAGUUGACUUGUGUGUGGAGUAAUGCACUGUUAUGGAAGUGGCUCUGUUAAAAAGCGAGCUGUAGCUAUCAUGCUUGCUCUGUCUUGCCAUGUGAUGUCCUGUGCCUGUUAAGACGCAGCAGGGAGGUCCUCACCAAUUGCCAGCUCUGUGCUCUUGGAAUUCCCAGCCUCCAGAACCAUUAGCCAAAUAAAUCUCUAUUCUUUCCAAAUAUCCUAAUCUGUGGUAUGGAUUGAUAUCCUAACCUCUAGUAUUCCAUUAUAACAACACAACAUGAUUGAUAUGCUAUGUAAAUAGAUCUCAGGGAGUCGAUUUUAGGAAGUAGAUUCCAGGGGAAAUAUGGAGUGUUGGAAACUGAUUAUCUAACCUAGAUUAAGUAGAAUGCAAGGACACCCUAUUUUUAAUACCCAGAGCUGCUAACAGCUCAUGGCACCCAGUGGAGAAUCAGGUAAUUAAAGGUACCUUGUUCAUGUGGUGUCAGCUGCAUCAAGGAUGCGGUUAGGGAUGAUCACUGCCAUAGAAGAACAGGAUGGUUGUCAGUGACUCAAGGACCCUGAAGUGGGAUGGUGGCACUGCAGAGCUUAAAGAAAUAGAAUGACAAGCUCAAGUCCACACAUGAUUGAUUCAAGGCAAAAGAAAAACCAGGGGCCAGUGCUGUGACAUAGCCAGUAAAGCCACCACCUGCAGUUCUGGCAUCCCAUAUGGGCACUGGUUUGAGUCCUGCCUGUUGCACUUCCACUCCAGCUCUCCGCUAAGGCCUGGGAAAGCAGCAGAUGGCCAAAGUUCUUGGACCCCUGCACCUCUGUGGGAAACCUGGAGGAAGCUGCAGGCUCUUGGCUUCAGAUUGACCCAGAUAUGGCCAUUGCAGCUAUUUGGGGGAGUGAACCAGGGAAUGGAAGACCUCUCUCACUUUCUCUCUGCCUCUGCCUCUCUGUAACUCUGCCUUUCAAAUAAAUAAAUAAAUCUUUUUAAAAAAAUAAAAACCAAAUAAUUCUCAGUGGUCAUUCACAAAGACUCUUAACCUGAAAACCGGCACCGUGGCUCAAUAGGCUAAUCCUCCACCUGUGGCGCCAGCACCCUGGGUUCUAGUCCCGGUCAGGGCGCCAGAUUCUGUCCCAGUUGUUCCUCUUCCAGUCCAGCUCUCUGCUGUGGCCCGGGAGUGCAGUGGAGGAUGGCCCAGGUGCUUGGGCCCUGCACCCGCAUGGGAGACCAGGAGAAGCACCUGUCUCCUGGCUUCGGAUCAGCAAGGUGUGCUGGCUGCAGCACGCCAGCUGCAGCGGCCAUUGAGGGGUGAACCAACGGUAAAGGAAGACUUUUCUCUCUGUCUCUCUCUCUCUCUCACUGUCCACUCUGCCUGUCCAAAAAAAAAAAAAAAAAAAAAGAAAGAAAGAAAAGAAAAAAAAUACAGAACAAGACAAAAAACCUUACAACAUUCACUCUUGUGGGUUUUUGAGUCAGUGUUCGCUAACUCAUGGUAUUUUCAGGUCUUCUGGAAGGAGGAGGGCCAAGUGAGUAGGAACAGUUUUGGGGAGACUCAGAUUACUGGAAGUUCCCUCCCACAGUGGGCUUCCAGUGCCUGUGGAUUUGGCAAUGCCUGCCUCCCUGUGGCCUGGCCUCACCUCCCUCACUGCCCCAUUAUCUGCGGAGGCUCCUCUCCAGAGAGAGCCAGAUUCCCAUCUUGGUUAGGAUGCCAGAACGGCACUUUUUCUUCAAUCCUCAGCUUUGGGGGUGAAUUGUUGCCCUAUUAAAAGAUGUUUUCAGCAAACAUCAGUAGAUCCUCAUGUUCUUUUGAACCACUAAAUCAGAUGUCUCUGUGCCUCUGUUUUAUUCUUGUUUUUCAUCAUAAUCAUUUUUAGGUGAUAGAAUUUCUUAGAUUCUUGCUUCAGAGUGACCUUUAUUUAUGUGAGAUCCUGAAGACCUCCAUGAGUGAGCUUGCAUGAAUCUGUGGUUUACAGCAUUCAUAAUUUCUCAUCUAAAAUAAAAGUUUAUUGAGUUAACAAAUCACGAGAAUUAAUUACCAAAUAUGUGCAACUAAAAGCGAUAUUUCAGCAUUCAACAGUCCAUUUUAUUAACACACAAGAUAAUUAUUUAAAAUGUUAUGAUUCAGAAGUCAUUUUGAAGUUCAUAGCUUCAAGAUCUCUAUUAUAGCACUAAAUUAUGACUCAAUGUCAGGGAGGGACUAUUUUGGAACUUCGUUUUUUAAACUUAUAAAAGUUUCAAUUAGAAAAGUUAGAAAAAUAAAUUUCUAAAAGCAGCCUUUAAAUUAUAGAAGUUCUUAAGUGUAGUUGUUACUUUCCUCAUUAAAUUUCAUCUCCAUUCCAUCUCUGCUUUAUUGUUCCCUGGUUAUUGUCUUGUGUUUAUUAUCGCUCUUUAUUUGAAAGGUAAUAUAACCACAGUACAGUUAAAGAAAGAAAAAGAAAAUGUGACCCUUUCUUCCAUCAUUAUUCUAAUUUUGAUUUCUUUACUUGGGAACUUUCCAUGUUUCCUACCCCCACCAGAAACAUUGUGGUAAACAUAAUUAUUGUGUUUAGUUAAAAAAAAAAAAAACAUUUCAAAAAUUUUACUCAAGAAGUAGAGAGAAAAGGAGAUAGAGAGAUUUCCCAUUCUGUUUCACUCCCCAGAUGUGCUCAAUGGCUGUGGCUGGGCCAGAGCCAAAGAAGCGAGUUGAGUACUCAAUCCAGAUCUCUCAUGUGGCAGGAACCCAAGUAUUUGAGACAUCACCAUGCCUCCCAGUGUCCACAUUCACAGGAAGCCGGGGAACAGAAUGGAGAAUCAACCUGUUCACUCUCAUGUAGGACACAGUUGUGAUACCUGCUUGGCUUAACACCCACUCCUGUGUGUUCAAUUUUUUCAAUUUACUAUAUGAUACACAUUUUACUCUUUUAGUGUCUCCAAAGCCUCUUAAUCCAUGGUUUCAUAAUAUUGCAAACAAUACAGACAUUAACUUGUGACAAUGAGCUAUAGAGAGAUGGGACUCUGCCUUAUCAUACACAGCUCUUGGUAGGCAUUCAGUUAUCAUUCAUUGGAUUCAUCCAAAAUUCCUUUCUCUUUUAAACAGUAUUUCAGCAAAUGUCUUUAUGGACAUAGCUUUUCCCACAUUUUCAGUUAUUUGAGAUAGAUUUCCAUAAGAGGGAUUACUGGCAUGUGGUACGGCCAUGUUUGUGGCCCCGCAUGUAUUUCCAGAAUGCUUUCCAGAAGGGUUCUGAGGAUACACAACCCCGCCGUGCAUGACAUCACCAGUUCCCCUACAGCCCUGGGUGCGCUCAUGCAGUAGAAGGAAGUACAGUCACUCAUUGCUAUUUUAAUGUGACCCUUUUCUCCUUUACGUUGCUCAUUGCCUCUUUUGGUGAAUGUACUGGCUUUUCUUUAGCAAAGUGAGAGACCUCCACAGAGUGAAGAUACUCGAAGGCAUUGACUGCUCAUGUUGUCCUCACUUGCCAUUUGUUUUUCCCUCUAGUUGGGGUGUGGGGUUUUGGAGGAAUACUUUUAAACUUAUUUUUGAAAAGAAACUGCUCAGCCUUCUUCUGAGUGUACCUUGAACUCUCAAAAUUUGCAGUCUGUCACCUGCUUUAGCUUCCAGCAUUAACUGAGCAAGGGAGGGCAGUUUAUCUGCUACUGCUGUCAACUAAUCCAGGAAACAUCUGAGAUCCUUUUACCACAUUCUAGUCAGUCCAUGGCCUAAAGUACCACAGGUUCUCCACUGUUACCAUUCAUUUCCAAAUGGGAAAUUUGCCUUAGAUCCAAAUCUCCCGACCAACUUCUUAUCCCUGAUACAGUAAUUUAAUGUGUCUUUACAAAUCCCGGCAGAUUUCCUUCUGACUCUAACCUCAUUUCUCUGUUUUGAAGCAGCCAGGUGGAACCUCCUCUCCUCUACUCCCCUUCCCUCCCAUCCCCAAGAACUUGAAUAUAAACAGAACUUAAACUAUUCCCACCUUCUAAGGUGGUGAUUCCUACGGAAGAGUGUUCUUCUCAGCAUUUUGCAAAUAGUGUCUUUCAUUGUCUCCCUAAACCUCUGCUGUUGUCCAGUGCCUGAUUCUGUAGCUUCCUCUUUUACCAGUUUUCAUCUUCACUUUUCUCUCUGGCAGAGAAGAAUAAUCAAACAUUUUUUAUAAUCCUUUCAGAAAUGGCUGCUUUAAUCCUGUUCUCUGCAACUUCACUCCUAGGCCCUGACUAAGACAGCUUUUGGCUCCGAGGAAACCUCUGUGAACUGUACGACUGUGAAAACAGAUCCUAUAUUUGUUGUUCAAAACUAAUUAAAUAGAAUAGAUUUCAAAACAUCGGAGCUCAUCAGAGCCUCACAACUCAAAUACAUGGUUUUAUGAAAGGGAAUGCAUACUGGUCUUGUAGAGUUGCCCAGAAGCAACUUCCGCGACUACAAAGAUCAGAAUAGGGGUCUUUAUGUGGCAACCCAUGUGGAGAGUUACUAAAUCCUAAAUCAGGAGAUAGGCCCUAGUUCUAGGUUUGUCCUGGUCAAUAAAUGACCUGGAGGAGUUUUUGAGGUCCAGUUUGAGGCCUAGCUUCCUUAUCUAUAAAACUGGAGUAAGUUACUGAUUUUCAAAUGAUGGCAUUAUUUUUAGCAAUGCAACUCAGUUUUACAGUGAAAAAUAAAACAGAAAAUAGAUGCCUGUAGCACUCUUUCAGUUGAAAUAAUGGCCAGAGACCUGGAGUCCCACACCCUUUAUCUCCUGUAACUUUCCAUUUCUCAGAGCUGUAGAGGCUGACCCUAGGAGCCCUCAGACUACGCCCUUAUUCUGAUGUGAUCAUUGAUACACAGACAGACCGAAUGCUUUCCCAGCUCUAAAAUCCUGUACUUUUCAGGGGUUAAAAUAUAGGUCAUUCUAGGUUUAGAUUGAGUAAAGUUAGAUCAAGAAAGGAGCAUGGGGACUUGUCCUUGUGGCAAAGCCUGGCAUUUGGGGGUUUCAGAGGGUGGAGAAGCAACGGCCUCUGUGUGCUUGACCUCACUAGGGCAGCCAUAUGUCAUGGAAUUUUCGGAAUAUGAGUAAUGGCUCAAUUGUUCCUUUUGGGGAGCACUUCCUUCCUUCCUCUGCUAUAGAUCUUCCCACAUUACCUCCUUUAAUCCUCACCACCAACCUCAUUUUGAAUUCCUUACCCAAAUCCCAGUCCAGCUCGGGGUGGGAGCAGUCAGGUUAGGGACCGUUGCUGUUGCUUCUGCCAAGGCUUCUCAAAGCUGGCCCUUUCUUUUAUUUUAGGUUCCAACUUGUAUGCUACCUUCUACAAACAGUCUUUGACUACCCUAACUAAAGAUGUUGAGACUAUCCUGUCUUAUUUAAUUCACAGCAUUGGGUACUAUCUGCAUAAAUAUGUAGUUUGUUAGUUCAAUAUAUGUUCACUUGUACGUAUAUAUUUUCUGAAUUCCUCUGCAUGCACUGAAAUGUGAACUCAUGGGGAGUAGAGACGUUGGAGGUCUUGUCCUUUGCCGGACACCCUGAGAAGUGUCUUUCUGUAGCAAAAUAUGUCCAUAGUGAAUGCUUCAUUCUGGCGAAUGGAUGAAUGAGCAGGAGAGAUGGCUGAUAUCGUCUCCAUCAUACAGAUGAAGAAGCCAAGGCUUAGAGAAAUUUGAUUGUCAACUCUAAGUCACAUCACCAAUAAGCAACAGAUCCCAAAUUCAAUCUUGAGUUUAACCAAAAAGCAACUCUUAACUCCUGUGCAGGCUGUGCUGGUGGAACCAUUUCCUACCCAUGUGCAUCUGCGAGAGCACUAAUAAGGUAACGAUUUCAGUGGUGAUGGAAACUGUGACACCAUUAAUUGCUUACGCUGUGUGUGUUUACUGGAUCUCUGCUUGACAGCCAGCAGAGUACCUACCCCUCAGCUAGCAGCGCAUUCACUGUUGCAGACCUUUUUUUUGUUCACAGUUCUUUCUUAUCUUGAGCCAAAAUCUGCUAUCAAGCAUCUUGCACUCACCCAUCUCAGUUUUUCCCUCUCUAGCGAAGCAGAGUGAACUCUUCCUAUGCUUCCAGCUGGGAGAAGAAGUGGAUGGCAGUAGGGCAGACCUGUCUGGUUAUCUCUAGUUUCUCAUGAAUAUGCAAAUCCCUAGUAAGGUCAGCAUCCCCAGGCAGGUAAAAUACAAGGUGGUUUACUUGCCUUGGCUGUUUUAAUGAGUAUUGUGUUGUUUAAUCUUAAUUAAUAGUGAUAUUCCUUUUCUUAGCUAGUUUAUAAGUACAUCUAUUAAGGAAAUUGGGCCCUCAUUACUGACUUUGAGUGAUUAGUUUUAUCUAGACAAGCUGUCAAGAGAUUUUCAUUCUGUAUCCAUUCCUACCCUCCACACUCCCAACCUGAAUGUGAUAAAGACUGAUAAGGCAAUGAGCUCCUGGCAACCAAGGACCAGUAUGAACCUGUUUAAUUCUUUUCUUUCCGGUCUUUGACUCCAGCUGUUGGCCUUUGAGAGCAGUUUUUGUCCUAGCUCCACCAUGAGCCUUCUGGUCUCCACUCUAGCGCUCACCCCUGAGAAUAUUGUCUGUAUUUAAAUCUUGUGUAGCCCUUAACUUUUAUCAAAACCUCAAUGUUUUUUUGUUCAACACACAAAGAAACAUAUGAUAAUUGCAGCUAAUGUUUUGUAUGCUCAUGAGCCAAAAACUAUUCAAAUUCCCUUCGUGGAUUAGCACAUUUAAUAGAUAAUAGCAGGUCUUAGGAAAAUAGAAUAAACCUUUUUUUUCAUUUCAUGUAUUUUAAAAAUUUUCCCAUAAUUUGCACUUCCUGCUGUAUUCUCUGUUCCUCAAUGAUAUGACUGAUUAGAUGCAGUAGUUCACGUAAAGUGCUUAAAACAGUGUCUGGCGUAUAGAUUUGGGAUUCAAGAAGUGUUAGCUGCUCUCAUUACCAUAUUUCUCUCUGGGUGCUGAGCAGAGUCAGUAUUUUUGGAUCUAGACUCACAGUGGAGCAUGCAAUUUUCUUGCUUAAUUGAACACACUGUACUACAGUAGAUGGAAUGAUAAGGUACAAAUAGCAACAUGCCACAGCGCCAGAGAUCUGGAAUCAGGCUUCAUCGUUGCCAUUUAAAAGGUUAUGAAAACUCUAGAAAGCUCCUCACUCCUGAGAGCUUUAAUUUCUCAUUUGUACAUGAACUGUGGAACUUGAUGAUCUCUAAGACCCCUUGUCUGCAGUGUACCUUCCUCAUGUUAGCCCAGUUUCUAUUGCUAUAACUGAAUGCCACGGACUAUGCAACUUAUUAAAAAAAAUACAGAGAUUGAUUUAGCUCAUGGGUUUGGAGGCUGGAGAAUUCAAGAGUUUGUCAUUGGCAUUUGGUGAGGGCCUUGUUGCCCAUUGUAAUGGUGAGACAGCCAGCGUGUCACCUCUGUUCUCUCUUCCUCUUCUCCUGAAGUCACUGAUGCCAUCAUGGGACUCCAUCCUAACAAUCGUAUCAAAUCCUAAUUAAUCCCCAAAAGCUCCAUCUUCAAAUAAGAAGACAUGACCGAUCUUGAGUCUAAGUUUCCAACACAUGCAUUCUGUUGCACACCUCAUCCCAUAGCAUCCUUCCACACAGUUCUCUGACAAAAUAUGAAUUUCACCACAAUGAAGAUUACAUUUCUGCUGUCUUGGUAUGUUAGAGGCCCACAUCACCGGAGUGCAGGGUGCUUUAGGAAAUGCUUAGUGAGGAAGACAGAAAAGGACACUCUUCUCUUUGAAAAAAAGACAUUGACUUAUUUGAAAGACAGAGUGGCAGAGAGAGCACGAAAGAUCUUUCAUCCUCUUGUUCGCUUCCCAAAUGCUAGCAGCUGCCAGGUCUGGGGGCCAGGCCAAAGCCUCGUUUCCAAUAUAGAUGUCAGGAGCCCAGGUACUUACUUGGGACAUCUUCUGCUUACUUCCCAGGGACGUUAGCAAGAAGCUGGAUUGGAAGAGGAGCAGCUGAACCAGCACUCUGACAUGGGAUGAUGGCAUUACAAGCAGAGGCUUAAUCCGCUUAAUCCACUCUGCCACAGUGCUGGCCCCAAGGACUCCCUUCUAGCUGCUCCUCCAGCUAUCAGCAACCAAAUGCCCACAACAGCCAGUGCUGGACCAGGACAAAGCCAAGAACCUGGAAACUCAACCUGAGUCUCCUCCUUUGUGGGUGGCAGGGACUCAGUUGGGCCUUCGCCUGUUGCCUCCCAAGUACACAGUAGCAGACAGCUGCAACUGAAAGUAGAGCUGAGACCCUAGCACAGACAUUCUGAUAUGGGAAUUGGGUCUUAACUAUUGUGCCAAACCCUCCUUUUCUCCCUCCCAAGACUGUGAAUUUUAUCCCAGCUCCAGUACUCUUACUACCUGGUUCUGUAGCAAAAUCACAUUGACCUUCUCUGAGCCUUAUUUUUCUCAUUUGUCAAACUAGAGAGGGGAUUACAACAAUUUUCUUCUGAGUUUAAAACUCACCACUACGGAGUUCUUUAUGUGAGAACAAUACUUGUAUGAAGUCCUAUCGACAGAAGAGCAUUUUGUCUCUCCUUCCUCCUUUCUUUGCCAAAUGUAAUGUGAAUUGGUGUGGAAAAAAAGUAUUCUGCUGUGAAAAGGUUCAUUCAGCCUUUUCUUAAUAGAUGGAGUGGUUGGUAUUUCUGCUGGCUUCUGAAGUACAUUACAAGUCACAAUCUGGAAAAAGUUCCAAGGCAGCGCCAAGGCUUCCUGCUGGAUUUGGAUACAUCUUUAGGUCUUACUCUGCAGCUCAUCCUUAACAACUGACAAAAUAUUUACUUUGCUCGGUACAGAAAAGGGUAACAUUUUCCAAAAUAUUAAACUAGGUUGGAUUCAGAACACAGACAAUGAGGCAAAAAGUUGGACCUCUGUCCUUAGCCAUGUUGUUGAAUCAUUUUCCAGAGUGCCAUGAGAAACCGAACUUUGGUAGAUGUUUGUGCUCCAGGGUAAUUCUGAAAAAGGCAGAAGCCAGUCAGCCUCUGGGUAGCACACCCACUGGUGUGCGGAUCAGCAGUUCUCAAAGUGUGGUCCCCAGACCAGCAGCGUUGGCAUCUCCCAGCCACUAGUUAGAGGUACAAAGUCUCACAACCUCCCAGACCCAUGGAACCAGAAAGUGUCAAGUUGUAUCCCAGCACUCUCUGCUUUCAUGAGUCCAGCAGGUAAACAAACCCAUUUCUGAUGCUGCUAAAAUUCAAGAACCUCUGGUGUAGGCCCAUGAAGGCUGCAGGUGCUCGUUAUCUUUCCAUUGAAAGAGUCAGGCAGUGAAAGACUGGUAACUAAACUUCUCAUUAAUAAAUUAGUAUUUUAAGUCUGUGCAUGUUCUUUUUUAAAAAAGAUUUAUUUGUUUUUUGAGAUACAGAGUUAGAGAGAGAGGAGACACAGAGAUUUUUCCAUCCACAGGUGCACUCCCCAAAUGACCACAACAGCUGGGGCAGGACAAGGCUGAAGCCAAGAGCCAGGAGCUUCUUCUGAGUCUCCCACAUGGGUACAGGGGCCGAAGGACUUGGGCUAUCCUCUGCUACUUUCCCAGGCACAUUAGCAGGGCGCUGAAUCAGAAGUAGGGCAGCCAGGACUCAAACCUGCACCCUUAUGGGAUGCUGGCACUGCUGGCUGUAAUUUAACCUGCUGCAUCAUAGCACUGGCCCCAGUCUUUUCAUGUUCAAUACAGAGCUUAAGUAAUAUUUUAGAUCAUUGUUGAUUGAACUUGUGGAUAUGGGACCUGUACAUAAGGAGGGUUUUCUGUGUUGUUUAGAAUAGUGCAUCUAUGCGUGCUUUUGUGUAUAAGGGAGAAAGGAAUAUAAGACAUGGGUAACUGUCAAAUUGCUUCAUUGCCUCAAUGGGUCAGCACUGUGAUUUCUGACUUAUGUUAUACCUCAUAAAGUUUCUUUUAAUGAAGACAAUUUUUAUUAUUUUUAUAAUGUAAAUCAAUUUGAAAGUUGGUGGGGGGGGGCUGGCGCCUUGGUUCACUAGGCUAAUCCUCCUCCGCCUGUGGCGCCGGCACUCCAGGUUCCAGUCCCAGUCGGGGUGCCGGAUUCUGUCCCUGUUGCUCCUCUUCCAGUCCAGCUCUCUGCUGUUGCCCAGGAGUGCAGUGGAGGAUGGCUCAGGUCAUUGGGCCCUGCACCCGCAUGGGAGACCAGGAGGAAACACCUGGCUCCUGGCUUCAGAUCGGCGCAGCGCACCAGCCGGCUGGCUGUAGCGGCCACUUGGGGGGUGAACCAAUGGAAAAAGGAGGACCUUUCUCUCUGUCUCUCUCUCUCUCUCUCACUGUCUAACUCUGCCUGUCAAAAAAAAAAAAAAAAAAAAAAAAGAAAGUUGGGGUAUUGCUUUUUGAAAUACUGCUCUCUCCCCACCCCAUUGCCUCCUCCUCAUGCUCAAGGCACUGAUGUUUGAGUUAUACACAGGGUGUUCAGAAAGUUCAUGGCAAAUGUGUAUUAUGAAAAAAAAAAUCUACAUGGAUAUCAAAUUCUUAGCACCAAAAUAAAUGUAUCUUUUAAUUCCAUUUUUUCAAACUUUUUGAAGUUCCCUGGUAUCUGCAUUUGGGAUAAUAAAAACAGUGCAAUUUUGUUUCAUUGGAGGUAGCUAGUAAUUUUGAUAAAAAACUGAUUGCACUUUAGAAAAGCUCUCUUUUGAUCUGAGAGUGGAAAAAGUGGACAAAAAUUGAGUGACUACAACUUAUCAUUUUCAUUUAAUUUUUCAUAGAUUGUGAAUUAUUUUAAAUUAAACUAGUAGAAAUUAGUCACCAGCUUCGAGAAGUGAUUACCAUUUUAAUAAUUUUAAUCUUUCUAAAAUUGGAACUAAUUUCCAUAGGAAAUUCAGAUCACCCUUGUACCAUCUCCUGCUCCUCCCUCACAUGGCGUGGCUGCCCCUCCUCAUUUGUGUCACCUGACUGGCCACUGCAGGCAUCUGCGCUGUGACCUUUGUUCUGUGGUCUCAUGCUUGGCCAUGUCAUUGUGUCCCAGGGUUUCUACUCUUGCAUCUGUUCAUUUGGAAGAUACACAAUUCUGUAGCAAGAGUGUGAUUUCCCUCCUGAGUUCCAGCCAGUAUCUCCAACUGCUUCCAUGUCCUUCCAGUACCUUAGAGACCACAUAUCCAAACCAGAGCUAAUCUUUCCCCCCUGCUUUUAAUCAUUCUGACAUCUCUAUCUCUUUAAUGAAUUCCUUCUGUUCUUUGCCCUCUGUAACCUACCCUUAAGUCAGGGGCCGGAAACCAGGUACAGUAGAAAGUCCACAGGUUUGGACUGCAAUGAUCUGUGCUCACAUCCAGUCCCUGUCUGCUACUGGUGCCGUUAGGCAACUCAUUUCUCAGACCUUCAGCUUCUUCAUGGGUAAACUGGAGGAUUGUCUUGAGGAGGAAAAGGGGAAAAGUAUAUCAAACAUGCUUGUGUAAUGCGUUAUCCAAGCCAGAAUACAUCCAGGGUGAAGGUGGCCAUUCUGAGUAAUUAUUCCAUGACAACCAAAAAAACAUAAACUUAGACUGGCAAGCCAAGCAGCAUGGGUGCUCCUCCUGUGCACAAGGGGACUCCAUAAAGUUCUUGGAAUGUCUGUAUUAGUAAAAAAAAAAAAUCUAUGCAUGAAUUUCUGAAAUAUUUGCACCAAAACAGCAAAUUCCAUUGUUCUGUGAACUCUUUGAAGGACUCUGGUGAGUCACAUGUAGCAGGCCCUUUGCCACCCUGCCUGCCAUAGCCCUGUGUGUCUCCAUGCUUGUGUUCCCCCACCCCCACAGCUGUUCUCAGUCUCUUCACUGAGACCACAGCUAUGCUCUCCUGGCCUUCCACCUUCCUCUUUAAUAUAUUCUGUGUACUGCUGCCAGAUCAGGCUCCUGAAACCACAUCAUUUAGACCACUCGUUGCCUCAAGACCCUUCAGCAACGCCCCACUUAGUGAAGUUACCCCUCCCCAGCAUGGCAUUUAAAAUACGUCCGGUUUCACUUCAGUAGAUUUUCUUUCAGACUUGAAUCCAAGCGCUGUCCUUUAUCUGCACUGCGUUUUUGGCAAACUUGGCCUCUUCCACAGCUGCCUUGUCUUCCCUAGUGCCUUGCUUGUGCUGGCCUCCCUGACUGAUGGAGCUUUCUGCCUCCACCUGUUGAACUCCAGUGUUUUUUACACUGAAGGUUGGCCUCUUCCAAAAACCUGUCCUGUCCUGUCCUGUCCUGUCCAGUGAGAAGCUCUCCCGUUUCUUCCCUAAAUUCCCAAGCAAUUCUUCCUUUAUAUUCGAGGGUACUUGGCACUCUCUGUUUCACAUUGUGGUUAAUCAGAUUUGUAUCUUAGAUACCCCACACAGAAGGGAAGUGGGAGGCAGAGAAUACAUCUGGUUCAUGUCGCUUUGCUUCAGAUCUCUCUCACAUAGAAGCUCAGCAAAUAUUUGUUGACUGAAUACCUGACAGUGAAAGUCACUUUUGAUCUGCCAGUGAUUAAACACUGCUGUUGCCUCCUCAAGUAAUCAAACAUUUCUAAAUAAUAUGGCAAGUCUUCUCCUUGAUUUUGCUUCUUUUAAAUUAAAAGAUUAAAACCAUUAAUCAGGGGCCAGCAUUGUGGUGUAGUUGGUAAAGCUACCACCUGUGACAGCAGCAUCCCUUAUGAACAUCAGUCUGUGUCCUGGCUGUUCCAAUUCCCAUCCAGAUCUCUGCUAAUGGCCUGGGAAAAACAGUGGCAGAUAAUCCAAGUAUUUGGGCUGCUGCUACCCACAACCCACAUGGGAAACCUGGAAGAAGCUCCUGGCUCCUAGCUUGGCCUUGCCCAGCCGUGACCCUUGCGGCCGUCUGGGGAGGGAACCAGUGGAUGGAAAACCUCUUGUUCUAUCUCUCCCUCUCUCUUUGUAACUCUGACUUUCAAGUAAAUAAAUGAAGCAUUAAAAAAACAUUAAUCAGUACUAUAAACCAGUUGAAUUAUGAGCAAAACCAUUAAGUUGGUGAGAGUGUAUAGUUUUAAAACUGUACACAACUUUUUGCUCCAUUUUCAUGUUGAUGAUAUGCACCUGCUGGCCCAAAAAGAGAAGUUUAUUUAAUAAUAUGGAAAAAAAGUCAAAAACAGAUUUUAUAUCUGUGUAUAAUAGAGAUUUGGUAUCUGUAUGCAAUUAGGAAAUACCUAACAAUUGAUCUCUUAGACUGCCUCUCCCCAAACUCUGAAAUGUACGAGGUAGGGAUGGGCAGUUCGUGCAGUGGUUAAGAUGCCACUUGAGAUAUGCACAUCUCAUAUCUAAAUGCCUAGGUUUGAGUCCCAUCCCUGAACCCUUCUUGUUCUCUGCUUCUGAACACCCUAGGAGGCAGCAGGCAAUGGCUCCAGUAUUUGGGUCUCUGCCAUGAUUUGGGAGACCUUGAUGAAGUUCCUGGCUCCUGGUUUUGGCUUGCCAUAACCCUAGCUAUUGCAGGCAUUCAGGGAGUGAGGCAGCAGAUAGGUGAUCUCAGUCUGUCUCUGUCUUUCUACCUUUCACAUUCAUAAAAUGUGUUAGAAUUUUUUUAAUGUGUGAGGCAAUUUUGUCUUUUUCCUUGCUUUUAUUUCAGUAUGAGAAACAAGUUUAUAAAUAAUUUAAGGUAAUGUGAUUCUACUGUGUUCUUUUGUAUAUUUGGUUUCACAACUGCUAUAUGGUCAAUAAAACAUACAGAUUUUUACUAAGAGGACAUCUGUGGUUAAGGGAGUGGUUUUUAUCAAUUAAAGAAAUUGGUUUCAGAUCUCUUUAAAGAGAAAGCUACUUGUUUAUAAUCAUUCAGAACUGCUGGUAAACCUUGGGUAGUGGCAAUGGCAAGGAACCAAUGGCUGCCAUUUUCUGACUUUGCCUGUUUUGACACUGAUCCACUUGUUUGAUUUACAGAAGUGUUGUAGUGUAGUGAAGUCACAUCUUUUCAAUAUUGUCUUAAAAAUGACUGUUCUGGGGGCAUGCAUUUGUUCUAACAGUGAAGAUGUCCCCAUCCCAGAUCCCAGUGCCUUGACUUGGAUUCCAGCUCCAGCACCCAAUUCCAGCUUCCUGCUGAUGUGCAUCCUGGGAGGCAGUAAGCGAUGGCUCCAGUUACUGAGUUCCUGCCACCUGUGGGGAAGACCUGGAUUGAAUUCCUAGCUCCUGCCUCUGGCCUGGCCCAUUACUGGCUGUUGGUGAAUAAGCCAGAGGAUGGGAAUUCUCUCUGACUCUGUCUCUUUGUGUGUGUCUCAGAGAGAGAGAGAGAGAGAGAGAGAGAGAGAAGAGAGAGAGAGAGAGAAAGCACUCUAGGUCCCCGUCUCUUUAACUUUUUAAUUUAAGGGAUUUUUUUUCAUUGCAUUAAAUAAUUGCUCAAGUAAUUCUGUUAACUGCUGUGAAUAUUUUUAUCCAUGACUAUUAUCUCAGUGUGGGUUUUUAGAAGUGAAAAUAUAGGCAAUUAACUUUUAUUGAAUUUGAAAUGCUUAGGUCUCAGAAUUAGCAUAAUUUUAUGAAAAUUAUAUAGAGACUGUUAAACUUAGGUGGUCAUUAAAAAAUUAAUAGAGUUACCAGGGGAUAGUUAGUUCACAUCCUAUCUCAGGGGGUGCUGGGAUGUCAGGCAGGUCACCAGGCAUCUUAUUUCCAUAGUUAACCUAAUGCCUUACAGAAAGAUAAUUCUCUAUUGGAACUUCUGUUAUUGAAUUAAUUAAAACUCUUUUUUAAAAACAGUUUUAUUUAUUUAUUUGAAAGUCAGAGUUGCAGAGACAGAGAUCUCCAUCCACUGGUUCACUCUGUGGAUGGUUGCAAUGGCCAGGGCUGGGCCAAGCCAAACCCAAAGCCAGGAGCCAGGAGCUUCUUUCAGGUCUCUUAUGUGGGUAGCAGGGGCCCAAGCACUUGGAUCAUCUUCUGUUGCUUUCCCCAGGCUAUUAGCAGGGAGCUUGUUGGAAAUGGAACAGCCAGGACAUGAAAUGGCACCCAUAUGGGAUGCCAGCAUUGCAGGUAGUGGCUUUACCUGCUACACUGCUAUGCUGGCCCUAAUUAAAACUCUUGGAUAAAAAUAAAAGAUUUCUCAGAAGUAAGAAGGCUGUCCUGGAAAAAAAGAAUUUUACCUGUAUUGUUACUUGAUUUAUCAAGAAAGAUGCCUAGGCUGGCGCCGCGGCUCACUAGGCUAAUCCUCCACCUUGCGGCGCCGGCACACCGGGUUCUAGUCCCAGUCGGGGCGUCGGAUUCUGUCCCGGUUGCCCCUCUUCCAGGCCAGCUCUCUGCUGUGGCCAGGGAGUGCAGUGGAGGAUGGCCCAAGUGCUUGGGCCCUGCACCCCAUGGGAGACCAGGAGAAGUACCUGGCUCCUGCCAUCGGAUCAGCGUGGUGUGCCGGCUGCAGCGCGCGGGCUGUGGUGGCCAUUGGAGGGUGAACCAACGGCAAAAGGAAGACCUUUCUCUCUCUCUCUCUCACUGUCCACUCUGCCUGUCAAAAAAAAAAAAAAAGAUGCCUAUUCAAUCCUUGUUGUGCAGUAAGUACAAGGAUGAAGUGUUGAAGAAACAGCAGGAAAUAACCAAGAGCAGCACCUGCAUCUCAUGGUGAGGAGUGGUCCUAGCUGUACCAGUACCUCUCCUCAUGCCCCUUGUUCACCCGUAUUUGGCCCAGUUGGCAUGAAAGAGGAAGGUUUUAGAAAGCAAGAGUGAGACUCUGGCCCCAGAAUCAGCCCUAAAGCCAUUCGGAUCUGGCUGAAAAGCCCAUGAGAGUAUUUCAGGCAUGGAAAGCCAAGACACUCUGGCAAAAAACAAAAAACAAAAACAAAAACAAAAAAAAACAAAAACACACACACACACACCUAAAUGAAAGAUCUCUGUGAGUGAGAUCCCAGUGGAAAGAACAGGUCUUCAAAGAAGGAGGUACCUUUCUCUGAAGGGAGGAGAGAACUUCCACUUUGACUAUGACCUUGUCUAAAUAAGAUAAGAGUCAGUGAACUCAAAAGGCUUCCAUAGCCUUGGAAACUCAUUGUGGGGAGCAACUCGGACUAGACUAAGUUACUGGAAUUAAGACUUAUUCUAUGCAUCUGCUCUCCCACAAUAUGGCGCUGGGAGAGGAGUAAACAGCUUCUACCCAGCUGCCUCUCACCAACUUGACAAGCUGCAGGAGCUGCUCCUGAUUGGAGGAGAGCAGCGUACUUGGCGUGUGGGUAGCAGAGUUGGGAUUGGUGGAAGAGGACUAUAAAGGAGGAGAGAGACAACAUGUACCAGGAACACCUGAGGAACAUCUGAGCAGCCCCCGAGAGAGCCGGCCAGUGGUGUGCUGCUCCCCCGCGGAAGUGGGGAAAGUGGCAGGGGGAACCGCCCUUCCAUGGAGGUGGAAGGGUCGGUAGCCAACCCGGGAAGAACCAGCAGCAAACCCGGGAAGGGCCGAGCAGACGAAAGAACAGCGCAGGGUCCUGUGUCGUUCCUCCGUGAAGAGGGGGAGUGACACUCAUGACUGGAGCAUAGGGAGAUUACUGAUGCCAUAAACAGGAGUGUCAGUUUGUAAAGUCAACAACAGGAGUCACUGUGCACUUACUCCUCAUGCAGGAUCUCUGUCCUUAAUGUGCUGUACAUUGAGAUUUAAUGCUAUAACGAGUACUCAAACAGUAUUUUUCACUUUAUGUUUCUGUGUGGGGUACAAACUGUUGAAAUCUUUACUUAAUGCGUACUAAACUGAUCUUCUGUAUAUAAAGAAAAUUGAAAAUGAAUCUUGAUAUGAAUGGAAGGGGGGAGAGAGCAGGAAAGGGGAGGGUUGCGGGUGGGAGGGAAGUCAUUGAGGGGUGGGGGGAAGCCAAUGUAAUCCAUAAGCUGUACUUUGGAAAUCUAUAUUCAUUAAAUAAAAGUUAAAAAAAAAAAAAAAA